GCCCAGGUAGCUCAGUUGGUAGAGCAUUAGGAACGUAACCUAAGGGUCCAGGGUUCGAGUCCCUGCCUGGGCA